CAGUCGCCGCGGUAAUACAGAGGUCUCAAGCGUUGUUCGGAUUCAUUGGGCGUAAAGGGAGCGUAGGCGGUCGGGUAAGUCGGAUGUGAAAUCCUGGGGCUCAACCUCAGAACUGCAUUCGAUACUGCUUGGCUAGAGGACUGGAGAGGUGAGUGGAAUUCACGGUGUAGCAGUGAAAUGCGUAGAUAUCGUGAGGAAGACCAGCGGCGAAGGCGGCUCACUGGACAGUUCCUGACGCUGAUGCUCGAAGGCCAGGGGAGCAAACGGGAUUAGAUACCCCUGUAGUCCCUGUCUCUUAUAC
rnacentral:rRNA from 1 species